CCAUAAGACUGGGAUAACUCCGGGAAACCGGGGCUAAUACCGGAUAACAUUUUGAACCGCAUGGUUCGAAAUUGAAAGGCGGCUUCGGCUGUCACUUAUGGAUGGACCCGCGUCGCAUUAGCUAGUUGGUGAGGUAACGGCUCACCAAGGCAACGAUGCGUAGCCGACCUGAGAGGGUGAUCGGCCACACUGGGACUGAGACACGGCCCAGACUCCUACGGGAGGCAGCAGUAGGGAAUCUUCCGCAAUGGACGAAAGUCUGACGGAGCAACGCCGCGUGAGUGAUGAAGGCUUUCGGGUCGUAAAACUCUGUUGUUAGGGAAGAACAAGUGCUAGUUGAAUAAGCUGGCACCUUGACGGUACCUAACCAGAAAGCCACGGCUAACUACGUGCCAGCAGCCGCGGUAAUACGUAGGUGGCAAGCGUUAUCCGGAAUUAUUGGGCGUAAAGCGCGCGCAGGUGGUUUCUUAAGUCUGAUGUGAAAGCCCACGGCUCAACCGUGGAGGGUCAUUGGAAACUGGGAGACUUGAGUGCAGAAGAGGAAAGUGGAAUUCCAUGUGUAGCGGUGAAAUGCGUAGAGAUAUGGAGGAACACCAGUGGCGAAGGCGACUUCUGGUCUGUAAC
rnacentral:rRNA from 1 species